UACGUAGGGUGCAAGCGUUGUCCGGAAUUAUUGGGCGUAAAGGGCUCGUAGGCGGUCCAUCGCGUCGGGAGUGAAAAGCUGGGGCUUAACCCCAGUCCUGCUUCCGAUACGGGUGGACUAGAGGUAGGUAGGGGAGAUCGGAAUUCCUGGUGUAGCGGUGAAAUGACGCAGAUAUCAGGAGGAACACCGGUGGCGAAGGCGGAUCUCUGGGCCUUACCUGACGCUGAGGAGCGAAGGCCAGGGAGCAAACGGG
rnacentral:rRNA from 1 species